rnacentral:misc_RNA from 1 species
AAAGAAACUAAAUUAAGUAGUAAACAUUUUACUUGUAUUGCAGAACUAGAACCCGUAAAAGCUUUACUGAACUAAAGUGAGCUAUGAUUAGCAUUUAGCAAGUUUAAUCAAGUUGGAUCAUUGAAGUUUUAAGAGAUGUAUAAGAUAUUUUAUUGUCUUUCGUAUAAAACAUAGUAGAGAAGCACAAAUAUAUACAAAUAUACUUGAAGAAUUAUAUAGUUAUUAUGGCUUAGAAAGCUCCAUUAUUGGCCAUUUUCAUCAUGUAACAACCAUAAUAGCUGUUAGCUCUACUUUUUGUUUUUCUCCUGUUAAAUAAUGACAGUAAGGGUAACAGCCUACAAAAUUCCUUUACACAACUGUUGUCUAAAACCCAGUCAAACUUACAAGGAAAGAUUGACACAUUAAGGAAUUUGGUGUACUUAGUACCCAGCAUGAGUUUUCAAGUUGGAUGAGUAAGCAAAACUUCCAGCCUUAGUUUUAGAUGGAAUUGGAUGGCGGAGGAAGAAGAGCUGAUGGAGGAGAGGCUGGUAAUGUGAAACUAUUCAAGUUUGAUUGUGCUAAAACCACUGUUUCUUCUGGGAAAUUAAUGGAGCAAGAAAAGAGAAUAAAGGCAUGAUUUGAAUUAUAAAAAAAUUGGAUCAUGAGAUUUAUAACUUUGACAGCCAUUGUGCUGCUGUAUGACAAACUAAACCACUUAACAGAAGACCUACUAGUGGAAAUUAGCUUGAAGAAAAAGCACUCGAAGUAGGUCUCAGCGGGUGACUGAUUAAUGAGACUGUUGUAGGAGGUGAAAAUGAUAAAUUUGUCGUAAUUUAGAUUGUGAUAUAU